UACGUAGGGUGCGAGCGUUAAUCGGAAUUACUGGGCGUAAAGCGUGCGCAGGCGGUUUUGUAAGCCAGAUGUGAAAGCCCCGGGCUUAACCUGGGAAUGGCAUUUGGGACUGCAAGGCUGGAGUUUGGCAGAGGAGACUGGAAUUCCUGGUGUAGCAGUGAAAUGCGUAGAUAUCAGGAGGAAUACCGAUGGCGAAGGCAGGUCUCUGGGCUAUACUGACGCUCAUGCACGAAAGCGUGGGGAGCAACAGG
rnacentral:rRNA from 1 species